UUGACCUGGGAAAAUCCAAACCACCUGACUGACCUGCUGAGCAGACCGACGAGUGGUGGGGAGGAGGUGGUGCCACUGGGAGCAGCUGCCUGGAGAGGAAAAUCAGGUAAGAGACCCUGGGCUGUAGACUGUCCUCGCUAAAGGGGACCGAUGAAAGCCACAGCUAAGUUCCUUCUAGUUCGCGUGUCUAGGAAGCCAGUGCAUGUCCCCCCAGGUCACCAAAGUUUGACCAUGGUUCAUUCACAGCAGUGUUACUCUCCACGGUGGUUCUCGGGGCUGCACUCUGGACAGCCGUGCACCAAGCCAGUGAAGCUUGUCUUGCAGUGAUGAGCUUGGUAUUUUCCUACCGUUACAAUUGCCGCAAGGGCAAGGGUAUUUAUUAAUGGUCCAGUUUUUAAAUUUUUUGAUAAUGCUAACCCCACAUGUAGGCUUUGGCAAAGAACUUCCUCAGCUCAAAGCUACCAGCCUUCAGAAAGGUUUAAAAAACAAGACGAGUAGAUGAUAGCCCUGUACAUGGACUGAAGUAAGCAGAAUUCGAUUCCUAAUAAUAGAGUGUGAUGUUUUCUGCUUGGGCUCUGAAGUCAGACUGCCUGGGUUCAAAAUCCUGGCUCUGUCGGUAGCUGGGUAAUCUUGGGCAGGUUACUACUUCCCUCAGCUACAGUGUCCUCAUCUAUAAAAUGAGGAUAAUAAUAGCAUUAACCUCAUAAUGUGGUUGUGAGGAUUAAAGGAAAUAACGCUUAUAUUGCGCUUGACCUCAGGACCAAGGAGCGCUCAGGUGCCAGCUGUCAUUAUCCACACAGAGCACAUGACCAGGACUGACUCUGCAAGAUGGAAAAAUACAGCUCCUGCAGCCUUCCCUGGAGCAUGUGAAGGUGGACUUCUUCGUGUCUCACAAAUGCUUCCCGCCCCUGAGAUGUGCCCUGUCCAUCCAAGGCAGGGUGACUAGAGACAGCAGGGCCCCCAGGACUAGGCUAACACACUCAUUCGAAACCAAAGAGUGUACCUUAGAUCUGGUGUCAGCUGAGCUGUGUCAUCCCCCCUCUGCUAUUCAGCAGCAUCUCUGAACUUUGAACAGUGUUCUGCCCUACGGAAUUGCCCAGAAGCCCCUGUGGUGUUGUUACGUAACGUGGGUCCUUGGGCUGUGCCCUGAGGUGCUCGUGAAGAGGACUCCUGGGCUCCGGCUCCCCUGACCUACAGAGUACCGUAGCCCUGCAGCCAGAAUCAGGCUGCUUCACACGCUCCCCCAGGUGCUUCUCAUGGCCUCAGGUUUAACUCCCAAAAGUACAAUCACCCAGGAGCAAAAGGAAGCCGCUGGGGAAAGUGAAGCAUGGCUGAGCUGAGUUAGUAAGCUGGGUCCGAGGCAGGGCUCUUUAAGGCUGUACUUGGGGAAAAGGAGGAGGGGAGGAGACUUGUUAAACAGUCUGAUUAAUAGGCUGCCUUGAUAGUGUUUCUCUUCUGCCAGUGGGGUUCAAACACUCUCGAGGGCUGCCUAGCCACCUGCUUUUGCAGCCCCAAGCAAGGGUGAUACCACAGGGAAGCACCCAUUUUUAUGCCCCGCACUGGCUGUCCUCUUUCACCAGGCAGAUUUGUAAGCCAGCUGGAGUAAGGCUAUCUCACAGGCCUGUUUGCCAGAGUCCAUUCUGGACAGCCUCUGGGAACGUGAAACUAGAGCUUUUCUUUGCUCAAAACAGUUUCUCUAGCCUGAGAAAGGAGCCCAGGUAGGGAAAAGGAGUUUGUCAGCCUCUACGUUGGGUGCACAGUGGAAAAACCAUGGUAGGUACUAGGACCCUUCUGAAGCACUGCUGAAUCAUGACUGAGCAAAGACAGAGUGUCCAUCAGUUGUGGGGUUCCAUAGUUUGGGGUUUACUAAGGCCCAGGCUUAAUCCAUACAUCCCACACUCUCCCUGGGAAAGGGAUAACGAAAGUGUAUUCCAGUUAAUUUCUCAGGUAGAAAAUCAAAUUGGCCCAGCGCUCACUCCUGGACUAGUUUGGAGAAGCAGGCUUAGCUGUCUGCUGGACUGGAGUGACGACAUCAGACAGGCCCCUGCUUGAGUUCUGGAGGCUCUCCCAGUGAACGUCAUCACCCAGCUGUAAAUUAAAGGCCUGAGAAAAAAAAGGAAAGAAAAGAAUCAAGGAUCCAAUGUUAAAUCUGUGCCAGAGCCUUCCACUCCAAUGCUGAACAUGGCGAGAGUGUGAGACUACUGCCAAGAAAAACAGAAAGCUGGCGGCUACCAUGGCAGGCCCAUGGGGAAAGAGCCCGGCCUCAGGCUCCCGGUGCAGCCAGCUGGGUGGAGGCUGUUUGUGAAGGGAAGGUGGGCCAGAGCCUCCACUCUGCAUGGGCUGGAUCACCAUUCAUUUGCCACCACGUUCACCGGCCACCGUGGUGUCCAGGCUCCCGAGAGAGAGGAGAGACUCGAGGGAUGGAGCCCAGCACAGCGUGAGCCUUCCUCAGGAGCACAGUGUGGGUCUCCAGGGGACUUGUGUCAUUGUCACCUUUGUCACCCCCGCACUGAGGGGCCACUGCAGGGUACUUAACUACAGUCCUGCCAGGUGCUGGUCAGCACACCCAGGGAGCAGUCCCUGCAGCCCCAGGGGCCACCCAGCCUUCCCCUUGAGAGGGCUGGGACCCUGAGCCAGCUCAGACUCUGGUAGCUGAAGUCCCAGGAUAUCUAAUGUCAAUGCCUUUUAUUAUGAAAAGAAUUUAAUGUGACCAAAUGCUAAGAGAGUAGUAUACUGAACCCUGAAGUGCCCAUUAUCCUGUGUCAACAACUACCAGCAGGCAGGGCUUCUUUUCUUCCUUUUUGAGCGUCCCUCUCUGGAGGAGUAACACACAGUACUUCUUGAAAGAAAAGGGAUGAAAAAAAGCAUUAUUAUUAUUAAAGUAAGAAAGUGUGUGUAUGGCAAAGGGACACAGGAGCUAACUGGAAGAGCUCCUAAUGGCCAAAGCUGGAACAGUUUGAGCAAUAAAAUAAUAUAGUACUGGGACAUUGAUAUAUAACCCAAAGCAUAAAUAUUCAUGAGUGCAUACUGGUAUAAAUAAAUGAUUGAAUAAAUAAAUAAAUGGAGAAUAGACAAACCUGCCAAAUGAAAGAAUUCUGAAUAAUUUAUGUGGAGCGUAACUCCUCAUUCCUUAGGUGUGGGCUGCGCACAUGGACGUCCUUCUAAAGGGAACAGUGUGGAAAGGGGAAGAAAGAGGAACCUUGUGGUGAAACCUGACAAACACUAGCUCAGCCGGUGGCCAAGGUUAACAGCACCAGUGAUAAGUCAUGUGGGUAGCAUGUACCAUUGACAGGAUGUGACCAGAGGACACUUGACCUCUGUGGUCUUCCUCAUAAAAACCCAGAGUCCCAGUCUACUCAUGAGAAACAAAUUCACACAAAUCCCAGUCAAUGGACAGUCUACGAAAUACGUGACCAGUCCUCCUCAGAACUGUCAAGGGCACCCAAAAGGAAAGUCAGAGAAACUGUCACACGCAAGAGCAUCCUGAGGAGACAGGACCACUAAAUGUAGUGAGGUGUCUUGGAUGGGAUCCUGGGACAGAGAAAGCACGUUAGGGGAAAACUAAAGAACCUGAAUAAAUUAUGGACUUUAGUUAAUAAUAACAUACCAAUGUUGGUUCAUUAGUUGUGACAGAUGGACCACAUUGACAUAAGAUGUUAACAAGAGGGGAAACUAAGGGGUAUAAGGGAACUCUGUGAAAGUUUAUUUUAAAGAAUGCAUUGUCGUAAUUUUUCAACAGCUGUAUUUCUGCGGGGGGGCAGACUAACUUCACUGAGCUGGGCUGGCGAUGAGCACUCUGUCCUGCCUGCCUGAUUUUGUUCUUGGAUGUGCCCAAGAAGUAGGAGGGGGGACCAUCAGCUUCCUGGCCCCAACCUCUGAACUUCCUAUACCAGCUGGUGAAAAGCAGAGGCAAGGAGUUUAUUGUGGAGAAGUGAAAGAGGAUGUCCAGGAACCAGUUAGGCGUGCCGGGCUGGGCUGGAGAAGGCUGGCUGCCACUGGGGCUGUGGUCAGGUCCCGGGAAGACUGACUCACCGUGGCCUUGCCUGUGAGUCAUGCAGCAUAACACCCUGCACUGGGGUGGCACGCAUUUGGUGCAGGGAGCGUUGCUCUACACCAGGGACCUGGCAGAAAAUGGGGGAUGGGUUAAAAGGGUGAAGCGAGCCUGCCCCUGCUCUUUGCUGGCACUAUUCUUGUCCUGGUGAAAGAUGGGGGCAGGCAUUCGGGGCCUCAGUCAUCCACCCCUGGAGGGAACCCAUGCAUGCUCAGCUACUGCUCCCCAUCCCCUGAGACCACCCACUUCAGAAACCUGGGGUGGUGGAAGCACAUGGGCUUUGAAAGCAGCAGAUCUGGGUUCACAUUCAGACUCCACUACUUGAUAGCCGGGAAGCCUCAGGUGAUUCAGUCACGCUCUCUGACCUGUUUCUCCAGUUGUAAAGUGCAGAUAACACACCUGCCUCACCCAUCUCAUGAGGUUGAGUCAAGGAUCAAAUGAGAGGCUGUUGACCAAUAGGCUCCAUCUUCGGGGUUAUUGUUUGGUUGGAGGUGGCAAGGAUGGUCAGCGCUCUUCAGGCAGCAGGAUAAAUCUGAGAAUUUACCAAUAGGACCCACUUUGAAUGCUGUUUAAGUUGGGAAACCCUCCAGACCCAAAUGGGAGCAGAGAGAGUCAUGGAUACACCAUUGUGCCCUGAGGCAUACACUUUUCUGUUCUGCUACGUAAUCUUCACAACCAUCAUGAAGAGCCAUCACUGAAGAGCCGAACAGUAUUUCAUUAAGUGGGUGCAUAAGGUAAUGGCAUCAGUAUAGGCACUGGACCAAAACUCUCAUGUAUAUGUAUGAAGAGAGAAUCUUCUGUGGUAAAAAUUUGUCAAAGUUUAUAGUAAAUGUGGUAUAUAAAGAGAGUAUGUAAGUGAAAUACUUAAUUUUGGAAUAUUUAUAUACAUAGGCUACCACAGAAAAUUAAUGAUUUUUAGAUUUCUUAAGCGAGAGAUGGAAAGAGAGAUGGGGGCAGUGGGGAAGUGAUCACUGGUUCCUAGGUUGAACAUUGGAUGAGCUACGCAGUUGGCUAACAUUUGGGCGCCGGGUACAAAACCACUCAUCUUCAACACCUGGAUCCUGCCUGGCCCAGGGGAUGCUCAUACCAGAAGAUGCACAGGGAAACUGAGCCCAAGGGAGGAGGGGCACUUUCAGGUCCCCCUUCUCGUGCUCAGCCCAGGACACACGCUUACUGAAGUGCUCUGUCUAGAAUUAUUUCCUUCAAAUAGAUUCACAGGAGUGAAGUGAUUCAUUUAAACAGAAAAAAAAAAUAUUUUCAAGGUUUUUAAUAGAUAUUGAUAAACUGCUUUAAGAAUUUAUAUAGUCACCAGCAAAAUUUAAGAUUUUUCUGUACUACUGUCCAGCCAGCACUGGUUACCUUUUCAAAAGUUCUCAGCAAUUAAAAUGUUGAAAAGAAACAAUACUUGAUCGUAUGUUUUGAUUUGCAUAUCUCUAAUUAUUAAUUAGGGUGAACUUUUCCCAUACCUUUUACUCACUAGUUGUAUUUCCCUUUUAGAGUGUCUGUUUUCUGAGAUCCAAAAGUCAAUUUUAUUAAUCUAGCUUUUUACUAUAUUUACCCUUUGUCUGUAUCAUAUGGUAUACUUAUUUCUCCCUUUUUGUUCUAUUUUUUUUGGUUGUAUGGGUUUUUUAAAUUACAUAUUACAUAUGCUAUAAUCACACUGUUGAUUUUUCCUUUGUGAUUUCUUCUUUAAAGAAGCAUAUUUAAUGGGUAUAGGAAUUUGGGGGGAUGGUGAAAAUUCCAAAAUUGAUUAUAGCAACGGUUGUACAACUCUGUGAAUACACUAAAACUACUGAAUUAUACAC